UACGAAGGGGGCUAGCGUUGCUCGGAAUUACUGGGCGUAAAGGGCGCGUAGGCGGAUAGUUUAGUCAGAGGUAAAAGCCCAGGGCUCAACCUUGGAACUGCCUUUGAUACUGGCUAUCUUGAGUUCGGGAGAGGUGAGUGGAAUGCCGAGUGUAGAGGUGAAAUUCGUAGAUAUUCGGCGGAACACCAGUGGCGAAGGCGACUCACUGGCCCGGCAUUGACGCUAAAGCGCGAAAGCCAGGGGAGCAAACGGG
rnacentral:rRNA from 1 species